rnacentral:rRNA from 1 species
UCAGUAACACGUGGUCAAGCUAACCUAUGGACGUGAAUAACCUCGGGAAACUGAGAAUAAAUCACGAUAGAUCAAGGUGCCUGGAAUGGCCCAUGGUCGAAACAGUUUACUGCCGUAGGAUGCGACUGCGGCCUAUCAGUUUGUUGGUGAGGUAAUGGCCCACCAAGACUAUUACAGGUACGGGCUCUGAGAGGAGAAGCCCGGAGAUGGGUACUGAGACACGGACCCAGGCCCUAUGGGGCGCAGCAGGCGAGAAACCUUAGCAAUGUGCGAAAGCACGACUGGGUUAGUCCGAGUGAUUCCUGCUAAAGGAAUCUUUUGCCGGUCCUAAAAGCACCGGUGAAUAAGGGGUGGGCAAGUCUGGUGCCA